rnacentral:rRNA from 1 species
CCCUUAGACGUUCUGGGCCGCACGCGCGCUACACUGACACAGGCAACGAGCUUUCCUUUACCGAAAGGUAUGGGUAAUCUUUUGAAACUGUGUCGUGCUGGGGAUAGAUCCUUGCAAUUUUUGAUCUUAAACGAGGAAUUCCUAGUAAGCGCGAGUCAUCAACUCGCGUUGAUUACGUCCCUGCCCUUUGUACACACCGCCCGUCGCUACUACCGAUUGAAUGGCUUAGUGAGGCCUCAGGAUCCGCGCUUAAUGUGUGGAGAAUUUGGACAAACUACGUCAUUUAGAGGAAAUAAAAGUCGUAACA